rnacentral:rRNA from 1 species
UACAGAGGGUGCGAGCGUUAAUCGGAAUUACUGGGCGUAAAGCGUGCGUAGACGGUUAUUUAAGUCGGAUGUGAAAUCCCCGGGCUCAACCUGGGAACUGCCUUUGUGACUGCAAGGCUUGAGUGCGGCAGAGGGGGAUGGAAUUCCGCGUGUAGCAGUGAAAUGCGUAGAUAUGCGGAGGAACACCGAUGGCGAAGGCAAUCCCCUGGGCCUGCACUGACGCUCAUGCACGAAAGCGUGGGGAGCAAACAGG